CCCCUACAUAAAUAUGAUCUCCAAUUAGAGACAAUGAGAACCGGCUGCCUCUAAUUGGAGAUCAUCCCAACAACCCCAACAUAGAAAUAGAAACCUAGAAAAACAACAUAGAAACAGAUAACAAGAAAACCACCCCAAAACACCCCUUGUCACGCCCUGACCUACUCUACUAUAGAAAAUGACAUCUUACAAGUGUCAGGACGUGACAUGUACAGAUGUUCUUGGGUGGAGGCUCCCUAUCUCACAAGUGCAAGGGCGCUCAGCUGCCGUACCACCUCUGUUGCUGUAUCUGCAUUUGUCAGGUCACUGGAUUUACUUAGCUUCAUCUCUCCAGGUGCCACAGUGACCUCUGACCUAUGGCCCUGAUGACAGUGGUGACCCUGACUGGCGAGUGGGUGAUGUCAUAAUGGAGAGACCUGCAGGGAUACUGCAUGUGCAGGCUCAGAACAACAUCAAGAGCUCCAGACCACAGGUAAAACUGCUCAUACACAGGCCUAAAUCAGUCUUUGGGCUGACCAGAGGUGUAGCUCUUCUUCAGGAGUUAGUCUGUCAAAACCAGAUUGUUGUAACGCAAGGUUUAGAAGCCAGUCGAGAGAGUAAUGAGAACUACAGCAAACAGCAAUGUUCCAGGACAGCGCCUUUACAGAACGUUCUGCCUACCUUGACUUCCAUACCUACCAUGCCUUCCAUGAUUCCUGUGGUCAGGUUUUAA
rnacentral:lncRNA from 8 species